rnacentral:rRNA from 1 species
GGGUUGUGAGGUUAAGCGACUAAGCGUACACGGUGGAUGCCCUGGCAGUCAGAGGCGAUGAAGGACGUGCUAAUCUGCGAAAAGCGUCGGUAAGGUGAUAUGAACCGUUAUAGCCGGCGAUGUCCGAAUGGGGAAACCCAGUGUGAUUCGUCACACUAUCGUUAACUGAAUACAUAGGUUAACGAGGCGAACCGGGGGAACUGAAACAUCUAAGUACCCCGAGGAAAAGAAAUCAACCGAGAUUCCCCCAGUAGCGGCGAGCGAACGGGGAGCAGCCCAGAGUCUGAAUCAGCUUGUGUAUUAGUGGAACGGUCUGGAAAGUCCGACGGUACAGGGUGAUAGUCCCGUACACCAAAAUGCACAGGCUGUGAACUCGAAGAGUAGGGCGGGACACGUGGUAUCCUGUCUGAAUAUGGGGGGACCAUCCUCCAAGGCUAAAUACUCCUGACUGACCGAUAGUAAACCAGUACCGUGAGGGAAAGGCGAAAAGAACCCCGGCGAGGGGAGUGAAAAAGAACCUGAAACCGUGUACGUACAAGCAGUGGGAGCACCUUCGGGUGUGACUGCGUACCUUUUGUAUAAUGGGUCAGCGACUUAUAUUCUGUAGCAAGGUUAACCGUAUAGGGGAGCCGCAGGGAAACCGAGUCUUAACUGGGCGUUAAGUUGCAGGGUAUAGACCCGAAACCCGGUGAUCUAGCCAUGGGCAGGUUGAAGGUUGGGUAACACUAACUGGAGGACCGAACCGACUAAUGUUGAAAAAUUAGCGGAUGACUUGUGGCUGGGGGUGAAAGGCCAAUCAAACCGGGAGAUAGCUGGUUCUCCCCGAAAGCUAUUUAGGUAGCGCCUCGUGAAUUCAUCUUCGGGGGUAGAGCACUGUUUCGGCUAGGGGGUCAUCCCGACUUACCAACCCGAUGCAAACUACGAAUACCGAAGAAUGUUAUCACGGGAGACACACGGCGGGUGCUAACGUCCGUCGUGAAGAGGGAAACAACCCAGACCGCCAGCUAAGGUCCCAAAGUCAUGGUUAAGUGGGAAACGAUGUGGGAAGGCACAGACAGCCAGGAUGUUGGCUUAGAAGCAGCCAUCAUUUAAAGAAAGCGUAAUAGCUCACUGGUCGAGUCGGCCUGCGCGGAAGAUGUAACGGGGCUAAACCAUGCACCGAAGCUGCGGCAGCGACACUAUGUGUUGUUGGGUAGGGGA